CAGCCCUCCGUCAAAGUUGUAGAGUGAAAGUCUUUCCAAUUUUAGAGUAUUUCUUUUUAUUGCUUACAUAUUUAAAGACGAGAUUAGCAAAGAUGUAUUAUGCUGAUAAUUUUAGGGUCUGAAGAAUAUAUUCAGAAUUUAAUAAGACCCAUUGAAAUGGGGAUUGGACUUACACCUGAAAGAAUGAGUGGUUAUACAACAAAUCCAUAUAAAUACAGAAAGAGCAAAAGAAGAUGGUAUUUAUUGGUUGAUUCACCUGUUGCCAGUGGAUAUGGGAAUUUAAAGAGAUGAGAUGGUGUUCAGGAAGUUUCACAGAACAGGCAGCCUUUAACAUGACUUUUGCACUGAAGUUGGAAAAGGGGACUCAAGAGGAAAGCACACCAGGCUUAAAGGAGGUACUCGGCAUGCAGUCGGUAUGAUUAAAAGUUGAGUGCAGGGGAGGAUGCGGUGAGACAACAGACUGAAGGGGAGACAGCAGCCCAAUGAGGAAGAAUCAUGGCCCAAUGAGUGGUCGUGGAAGGGUUUUGGUGGGAGAAAACUAAU
rnacentral:lncRNA from 1 species